rnacentral:rRNA from 1 species
CCUACGGGAGGCAGCAGUGAGGAAUAUUGGUCAAUGGGCGCGAGCCUGAACCAGCCAAGUAGCGUGAAGGAUGACUGCCCUACGGGUUGUAAACUUUUUUUAUAAAGGAAUAAAGUGAGGCACGUGCGCCUUUUUGUACGUACUUUAUGAAUAAGGAUCGGCUAACUCCGGUCCAGCAGCCGCGGUAAUACGGAGGAUCCGAGCGUUAUCCGGAUUUAUUGGGUUUAAAGGGAGCGUAGAUGGGUUGUUAAGUCAGUUGUGAAAGUUUGCGGCUCAACCGUAAAAUUGCAAUUGAUACUGGCAGUCUUGAGUACAGUAGAGGUAGGUGGAAUUCGUGGUGUAGCGGUGAAAUGCUUAGAUAUCACGAAGAACUCCGAUUGCGAAGGCAGCUUACUAAACUGCAACUGACAUUGAUGCUCGAAAGUGUGGGUAGCAAACAGGAUUAGAUACCCGGGUAGUC